ACUGUGUUUGCAGGCAAACCUGCCUAUGAAAUGUUGGAGUGUGAUCCUGACUGGGCCCCUUCUCUGUACCUCGGCCAUACUGAGGUCAAAGCUACAAACAGCAACCCCCAUCGCUAGGCACUGACAACACUGGUCCUGAGGCUGAGUUGGAAGCUCACAUGAAUCAACCCCCAUCGCCAGGCACUGACCACACUGGUACUGAGGCUGAGUUGGAUAAUGCAGCACCUUUAUACCCAGACAACACUACACCUGCAACUGAGAUGGAAGGUCCCGUGAAUACACCCCCAUCGCCGACCACACCGGUCAUGAGACUGAGUUGAAUGAAGAAGCACAUUUGUUCCCAGACUACUCUGCACCUCUGGCUGAGAUGGAAGGACAAGAGACUCGGCCCCUACCACCAGCACCAGACAAUGCAGGGAGAGAGGAAGAUAUGGAAACUGAAACAUCAGGGGAUGAUGGUGCCCCAAUGGAGACUGCAGAUGAACAGCAGAAGUGCACCAUGUGUGGCCUCAGACUCAAAGAAAUAAUCCGCUUGCAGGAGGAGAAUCGAAAACUGAAGGGAGAGCUCUCCAAAAAGGCCCUGGAUGAGAAUUAUCAUCAUAAGCAGAUCACCAAGAACUGUGGCUUUCUUCUGAAGAUCUCGCCUGGAGACCUAGUGUUAGCGGACCGUGGAUUUGAUAUUAAAGAAAGUGUUGCCCUUGUGGGUGCUACACGAAAAUACCUGCCUUCACCAGGGGCCACAGCCAACUUAAUGCAAAAGAUGUGGAAGAGACCAGGAAGUUAGCUCAUGUCAGGAUCCACGUGGAGCGAGUGAUAGGGUGUAUGCGCUCUAAGUUUAACAUAUUAAAUGACACAAUAUGCCUGGGAUUUGUGGUGCCUUGUGAGGAUAAGACUUUACUGGCUAAAAUUGUGGUUGUGUGCUGUGCUUUGACCAAUAUGUGUCCAAGUAUUGUUGUGAAGCCGUCGUGUUAGAAUUAUACACCAUACUCACAUCUAAUAUGUAAAUGUUUUUUUGUUUCCCAAAAGAUUUUGUAACUUCACUUCUCACA